GGAAUACUACUCACCAGAUUAUCCAAGCCCUCCCAAAAGUGCCUCUUAACCUCCUCGUCUAAGCUCGCUUGCGGCGCGUAAGCUCAGAUGACGUUGAGGACGCAACCCCCAAUAACCAACUUAAUAGACAUUAACCUAUAAUUCACUCGCGUAACCUUGACCACAGACUCCCUUAGAUCCCUAUCUACCAAGAUGCCCACUCCAUUCUUACCUC
rnacentral:lncRNA from 1 species